AACGAACGCUGGCGGCGUGCUUAACACAUGCAAGUCGAGCGGUAAGGCCCUUCGGGGUACACGAGCGGCGAACGGGUGAGUAACACGUGGGUGACCUGCCUCUAGCUCUGGGAUAAGCCUGGGAAACUGGGUCUAAUACCGGAUAUGACUCCACGGCGCAUGUUGUGGGGUGGAAAGCCUUGUGUGGCUAGAGAUGGGCCCGCGGCCUAUCAGCUUGUUGGUGGGGGAUGGCCUACCAAGGCGACGACGGGUAGCCGGCCUGAGAGGGCGACCGGCCACACUGGGACUGAGACACGGCCCAGACUCCUACGGGAGGCAGCAGUGGGGAAUCUUGCGCAAUGGGACGAAAGCCUGACGCAGCGACGCCGCGUGA
rnacentral:rRNA from 1 species